rnacentral:sRNA from 1 species
AGCUCUGUAGAUAUUCAGCGACUAGAGCUUACAUAUGUACAUCUUCAUGGUAGAUAACUCUGCAUUAUAUCCAGCCCAUAUCUUGGAAUAAGGUGUAUAUAGCUGUUAUAUUAGCUAAAUCUCUGUGAUUUUCCUCCUUUGUGUAUAUUUAAUCCUGUGUGGAGAGUUUUGCCUCUGUCACAGUGUUUCUGUACUGGUUUAUGACUGUGUAAAGUUCUGACGCCUGUGUUUUUAUUUUAUUGUUUUGUUUUGUAUAGACAAGUGCAGCUAUCUCUCCUUUACAAAGGAAAAAUGAGUGCUUAAUGUUUUUGAAAAUUUUACUGAGUUUAUUAGCUGAAAACAAGAUUCAUUUUCUAUUGUAAGAUUGAAUUGAAAUGAGUAGAAGUCACAGAGAGCUUGCAUGAUGUCAUUUUUGCGGACACUAGGUGUAUAGAUAAGUGCUUCCAUAGAUUUCUGUGAUAAUUGUUACAUACAGAGUUCUCCUCCUUUUAUGAUGUAAACAAAUAACAAUAUGAUCAGAUUUAAUUCAAUUUAAUAAUAUUGUUUCUGAUAAACAAACCUCACAUAAAUAACAAUAUGACAAGGUUUAAUGCUGAUGUAAUAAUAUUGUUUCCUAUAAACAAACCUCACAUACCAGUGUGUUAAAAUGUGGCUUAUUGAGUGUGUUGUAAAUCCCCUAAUAUAUGAUACAUGUAAGCAUUUUCUGUUUUCGAUGUGGUAUAAUUAUACGAUAUAAAUAUAUUGUUAGCACAUACCUGGU